rnacentral:rRNA from 1 species
GACAGAGGGUGCAAACGUUGUUCGGAAUUACUGGGCGUAAAGCGCGUGUAGGCGGUUAGGCAAGUCGGGUGUGAAAUCCCGUGGCUCAACUACGGAAGUGCACCCGAAACUGCUUAACUUGAGUACCGGAGAGGAAGGCGGAAUGCUUGGUGUAGAGGUGAAAUUCGUAGAUAUCAAGCGGAACACCGGUGGCGAAGGCGGCCUUCUGGACGAGGACUGACGCUGAGACGCGAAAGCGUGGGGAGCAAACAGG